AGAGGCUCAUAAUGCUGAAUGCUGUCAUCAAAGGAUUUGAAGCUUUUGUGGUGGAGCAGGACCUGCAAGGAAAGAUGAUGGCAGCGUUUGUUGGGGAAAAAAAGGUUUUAGGGAUUUUACUCAAAUAUAAAGAUCUGAAAUGUCUGCAGACUGGUGUGAGCACUGAGGAUGAGGAGCCCAGAGCUGAAUCCUGGAAGUGGUGCCAUGGAUGAGUCCCUCCAUUUCUCCAUCUGCCCUUAUUGCUUCAGACUGUGAA